rnacentral:misc_RNA from 1 species
ACUGCAUGUAUAAACAAUUAAAAAUGUUACGCGUAGAGAUAAGAAUACGUGUAACUGUAUGUAUAAAUGUAAAAAUGGGAAUGUAAAGAGGAAAAUAAGUGUACGUGUUCUUACCUCUGGCUUCCUUGGAGGCAGCUACGUGUCGGAGGAGAAGUUAUAAGAUACAAGAAAAAAUAAUUGCGAAAACAAAAAAUUGAAAAGACUUACCAUAGGUUUAAACACAUGACUAUUUCUUUGCGAUGCAGCUUGUCCACCAGAACCUCCACUACCAGCCCCGCCAAUAAGAGGUUGAUGAUUGGAUGGCGGUGUUGAAACUUUAUGAGGUUGCCGUGGAUCAUCCCUGGGUGUUGGAGGUAAUGGCCGAGAUGGUGGUUGGGGGUCUGGAACUACUAUACAGUGCAAAAAUGCACACCGGGGUAUAUAGUCAAAGAGGAAGCCAAAAUAAAGCAAAUAAAUGAAGAAACUGGAGGCAGACUUCUAGAAUUCCGGGAGAAAAUAAAGACGACCACAAAGAAUGAAAUACCGAAAGAAUGUAGAGGAGAGAUAAACAGCCAGGAAUAGGGGGAAACGAAAUGGAGGGAAAAAUGCAGGAAUUCUACGAGCAAGAAGAAGCUGAUCAAUGGGCGAAGCAAAGGACGACCGUUGGUAUUAACGUCAUAGAAGAGUGAAUAAGGAAAUACGGAAAGAAAAAGAUAGGGGAAAGAAGGAAGAAAAUAGAGAGAUCAAGAUCGUUGAAACAAUACAACAAGUGGAAAACAAAGGUGGGGCAAAAUAGCGAGAAGAGAAGGGAAAAGUCACAAAGCUGAAAACAAUAGCGAGAUUUUAGACGUGGAAAUGAAUGGGAAGGAAGUAGAUACUGGGUGGA